AUGGCCGCAACCAUACUACCUGAUGACCUGGUGGUGGAGAUCCUGUCUCUGCUGCCGCUGAAGUCCUUUUGCCGUUUCAGAUGUGUCUGCAAGUCUUGGCUUGCCUUCUCAUCUGAUCAGCACUACCGCAAGAAGCUCCCAAGAAUUCCCUUCGGUUUCCUGUACCAAAAAAAUGAGCAUGGCAAUGCCAUCCAUCUCGUGGGCCUUCCCUCAGGUGACAGGGAUAUUGAUACAACACUUAGCUUUGUGCCAUGCUAUGAGCAUCCCUUGGAGCUUAAGGGUUGCAGCAAUGGCCUACUUCUUUGUUAUCGUGGUGGUACACACUCUAAAGAAAUUUCCGACGCCAUUGUGUGCAAUCCAGCAACUCAAGAGUGGAUGGCACUUCCAAAUACUGAAGCUGGACCAGCCGUCUCUUAUGCUGAUCUCAAGUUGUGUUUUGAUCCAUUAUGGUCUCAAUACUUCUAUGUCUUCAAAUUUGAGACGACUCCAAAUGGUGGAUAUGACACCGAAGUUAAGGUAUUUUUCUCUGAGGAUUCGACAUGGUCUAAUUGUCUAUGGGAAACUUCAGAUAUACUUGGUGGUGAUUCACUCUUCUUAAAUGGGGUGUUGUAUGUGGAUCACUUAUGGGGGCAUUACCUUCUGGCACUCGAUGCACCUGACACAUGCACACAAUUGCUCAAUCAUAGGAUCCUUCAGCUGCCUGGAUUUCCAAAUGGACCAGAACAGAGGUUUUAUUGCUUUGAUGGCUGUCUUGGCCAGUCGUUUGGGGUCUUAUGCUAUGCACAACAAGAAUUGGAUGGUUGCAUCAUCCGAAUUUGGAGUUUGGAAGGAUCUGAUAGAUGGGUGGUGAAGCAUCGUCUAAAUAUGAACAACGUAUUUGGGAGGGACAUAAUGCUCCGUACUAACAAUGAAGGAUUAUGGUAUUUUGAUUAUGAAAUCCUGGCAUUUGACUUGGAGAGAGAGCUAGUUUUCCUUGCUGACACAAUUGCUGAUAAUAAGAUCAUCUCAUAUAGCAUCAGUACUGGAAAGGGCUCGCAGAUUCUAAACAUUCCAAGGUUCGUUGACCUAUAUCGAAGUCGACUCUACGUGCCGUACUAUGGCAAGUUUCCAGCUUCCGUGCUUCAAGGAGCUCAAGACAAAUGA
rnacentral:rRNA from 1 species